UCGGGAAUUUUGGGCAAUGGGCGAAAGCCUGACCCAGCAACGCCGCGUGAGGGAUGAAGUAUUUCGGUAUGUAAACCUCGAAAGAAUGGGAAGAAUAAAUGACGGUACCAUUUAUAAGCUCCGGCUAACUACGUGCCAGCAGCCGCGGUAAUACGUAGGGAGCAAGCGUUGUUCGGAUUUACUGGGCGUAAAGGGCGCGUAGGCGGCGCGGUAAGUCACUUGUGAAAUCUCUGAGCUUAACUCAGAACGGCCAAGUGAUACUGCUGUGCUAGAGUGCGGAAGAGGCAACCGGAAUUCGUGGUGUAGCGGUGAAAUGCGUAGAUAUCAAGAGGAACACCGGAGGCGAAGGCGGGUUGCUGGGCCGACACUGACGCUGAUGCGCGAAAGCCAGGGGA
rnacentral:rRNA from 1 species